CGCACGGUCCGGAGUUGAUGGGUUAUUGAUGUCACCUGUUCGCAGGUGAUAACGGUUUCCUAGGAGACCUCGGUCAGAUUGUCUUGCCCGCCCCUCAGUAGACAGUCUGGCCAACCCCCCAAACCCCCCCUCCCAUCAACACCUGCUUGACCGUUGC
rnacentral:sRNA from 1 species